rnacentral:rRNA from 1 species
GACGAACGCUGGCGGCGUGCUUAACACAUGCAAGUCGAACGGAAAGGCCCUGCUCUUGUGGGGUGCUCGAGUGGCGAAAGGGUGAGUAACACGUGAGUAACCUGCCCUUGACUUUGGGAUAACUUCAGGAAACUGGGGCUCAUACCGGAUAGGAGCUCCUGCUGCAUGGUGGGGGUUGGAAAGAUUCGGCGGUUGGGGCUGGACUCGCGGCUUAUCAGCUUGUUGGUGGGGGAGUGGCUUACCAAGGCUUUGACGGGUAGCCGGCCUGAGAGGGUGACCGGCCACAUUGGGACUGAGAGACGGCCCAGACGCCUACGGGAGGCAGCAGUGGGGAAUAUUGCACAAUGGGCGGAAGCCUGAUGCAGCAACGCCGCGUGCGGGAUGACGGCCUUCGGGUUGUAAACCGCUUUCGCCUGUGACGAAGCGUGAGUGACGGUAAUUGGUAAAGAAGCACCGGCUAACUACGUG